AUUGAACUCAGGGGUAUUCGACCACUAAGCCACAUCCCCAGCCCUAUUUGGUAUUUUAUUUAGAGAUAGAGUUUCACUGAGUUGCUUAGCACCACUCUUUUGCUGAGGAUGGCUUUGAACUCGAGAUCCUCCGGCUUCAGCCUCCAGAGCUGCUGGGAUUAUAGGCAUAUGCCACUGUGCCCAGUUAUUUUCCCCUUAUUCUAGAAAAACAAAAAAAAAUACUAUCCCCAUCAUCAUAUUAGCAUCAUUGAGUUUCUCAAAUAAGUACAAUUUUAUUAGAGAACUUUAUCACUGUGUUUCCUUAAAAUAUGAUUAAGAAAAAAUUAAGAUGUGCAUAUAAAUAGAGAUGCACAAAAAAGUACCAGAAUGCUUCAAAAUGUUUAUAAUCAUAAUUGCUUUCUUUCAGGCAAGUUUUUGUAUGUCAGCUUAAUUGAAUAUUAAGAUAUUCAACAUUCAGAAAAUGAAAAUCUAAUCAUAUUUCAACCAUGAAUUUGAAUAAAGUCAGUCUAUUUAUAGUCAAUAAUUUUCUCCAAAUGUACAUAACUGUUACUGCCAACAUAAUGUAUAAUACUUUAAUCUUUCUAAAUGUUUACUAGGCCCCUUUUCACUCAGUCUCUUCUCUCCACUCCCUUUUCUCUACUCCCUGUCAGUGGUAACCACGAAUCCAACUUCUGUCUCUAAAGUUUUUCCUUUUAAAGAAUGUGUCUAAUGGAAACAUAUAGUAAAUAAUCUUCCAUGACUGGCAUUUUUUAUUCAUCAUUGCACUUCAGAUUCGUCUAUGUUGCUGCACGUAGUUCAUUCCUUUUUGCUGUUAGUACUAUUCCAUUGUGUGAGUGCAUCACAGUUUAUCCUUUCCCCAGUUGAUAAUAUGUUUUCA
rnacentral:lncRNA from 1 species